GAUGAACGCUGGCGGCGUGCCUAAUACAUGCAAGUCGAGCGGCAGCACGGUCUUCGGACUGGUGGCGAGCGGCGGACGGCUGAGUAACGCGUAGGAAUAUACCCCAAAGUGAGGGAUAACUGCCCGAAAGGGUGGCUAAUACCGCAUGUGGUCUUCGGACUAAAGCCUUCGGGCGCUUUGGGAAUAGCCUGCGUAAGAUUAGCUAGUUGGUGAGGUAAUGGCUCACUAAGGCGACGAUCUUUAGCUGGUCUGAGAGGAUGACCAGCCAGACUGGAACUGAGACACGGUCCAGACUCCUACGGGAGGCAUCAGUAGGGAAUUUUCCACAAUGGGCGAAAGCCUGAUGGAGCAACGCCGCGUGCAGGAUGAAGGCCCUCGGGUCGUAAACUGCUUUUAUGUGCGAAGAAUAUGACGGUAACACAUGAAUAAGGUCGGCUAACUAACGUGCCAGCAGCCGCGGUAA
rnacentral:rRNA from 1 species